UGCCAGCCGCCGCGGUAAUACAGAGGGUGCAAGCGUUAAUCGGAAUUACUGGGCGUAAAGCGCGUGCAGGUGGUUUUGCAAGUUGAGUGUGAAAUCCCUGGGCUUAACCCAGGAACUGCAUCCAAAACUGCAUGACUAGAGUAGAGUAGAGGGAAGUGGAAUUUCCGGUGUAGCGGUGAAAUGCGUAGAUAUCGGAAGGAACACCAGUGGCGAAGGCGACUUCCUGGACUCAUACUGACACUCAGACGCGAAAGCGUGGGGAGCAAACAGGAUUAGAUA
rnacentral:rRNA from 1 species